AUUGAACGCUGGCGGCAUGCUUUACACAUGCAAGUCGAACGGCAGCGCGGGGCAACCUGGCGGCGAGUGGCGAACGGGUGAGUAAUACAUCGGAACGUACCCAGAAGUGGGGGAUAACGUAGCGAAAGUUACGCUAAUACCGCAUACGUUCUACGGAAGAAAGUGGGGGACCCUCGGGCCUCAUGCUUUUGGAGCGGCCGAUGUCUGAUUAGCUAGGUGGUGAGGUAAAGGCUCACCAAGGCGACGAUCAGUAGCUGGUCUGAGAGGACGACCAGCCACACUGGGACUGAGACACGGCCCAGACUCCUACGGGAGGCAGCAGUGGGGAAUUUUGGACAAUGGGCGCAAGCCUGAUCCAGCAAUGCCGCGUGAGUGAAGAAGGCCUUCGGGUUGUAAAGCUCUUUUGUCAGGGAAGAAACGGCUGAGGUUAAUACCUUCGGCUAAUGACGGUACCUGAAGAAUAAGCACCGGCUAACUACGUGCCAGCCGCCGCGGUAA
rnacentral:rRNA from 1 species